rnacentral:rRNA from 1 species
UAAUAGCGUAUAUUAAUGUUGUUGCAGUUAAAAAGCUCGUAGUUGGAUUUUGGUGUUUGACAAAUGGUCUGCCUUCGGGUUUGUCACUGUUUGUUGGCACUUCUUUUCUGGGGAACUCACUGCUCUUAAUUGAGGGGUGCUGUAACGCAGAUCGUUUACUUUGAAAAAAUUAGAGUGUUCAAAGCAGGCCAACGCAUUGAAUACAUUAGCAUGGAAUAAUGGAAUAGGACUUUGGUCUUAUUUUGUUGGUUUCUAAGGCCGAGGUAAUGAUUAAUAGGGAGUAGUUGGGGGCGGUUUAUAUUCCGUUGUUCAGAGGUGGAAAUUACUUUGGAUUUACGGAAGAUAAACUAACUGCGAAAGCAUUCGCCAAGGAUGUUUUCUAUUAAUCAAGAACGAAAGUUAGGG